AUUGAACGCUGGCGGCAUGCUUUACACAUGCAAGUCGAACGGUAACAGGCCGCAAGGUGCUGACGAGUGGCGAACGGGUGAGUAAUGCAUCGGAACGUGCCCAGUCGUGGGGGAUAACGCAGCGAAAGCUGCGCUAAUACCGCAUACGAUCUAUGGAUGAAAGCGGGGGACCGUAAGGCCUCGCGCGAUUGGAGCGGCCGAUGUCAGAUUAGGUAGUUGGUGGGGUAAAGGCUCACCAAGCCAACGAUCUGUAGCUGGUCUGAGAGGACGACCAGCCACACUGGGACUGAGACACGGCCCAGACUCCUACGGGAGGCAGCAGUGGGGAAUAUUGGACAAUGGGCGAAAGCCUGAUCCAGCAAUGCCGCGUGAGCGAUGAAGGCCUUAGGGUGUAAAGCUCUUUUACCCGGGAUGAUAAUGACAGUACCGGGAGAAUAAGCUCCGGCUAACUCCGUGCCAGCAGCCGCGGUAAU
rnacentral:rRNA from 1 species